rnacentral:rRNA from 1 species
GACGAACGCUGGCGGCGUGCUUAACACAUGCAAGUCGAACGGAAAGGCCCUGCUUUUGUGGGGUGCUCGAGUUGCGAACGGGUGAGUAACACGUGAGUAACCUGCCCUUGACUUUGGGAUAACUUCAGGAAACUGGGGCUAAUACCGGAUAGGAGCUCCUGCUGCAUGGUGGGGGUUGGAAAGUUUCGGCGGUUGGGGAUGGACUCGCGGCUUAUCAGCUUGUUGGUGGGGUAGUGGCUUACCAAGGCUAUGACGGGUAGCCGGCCGGAGAGGGUGACCGGCCACAUUGGGACUGAGAGACGGCCCAGAGUCCUACGGGUGGCAGCAGUGGGGAAUAUUGCACAAGGGGCGGAAGCCUGAUGCAGCAGCGCCGCGUGCGGGAUGACGGCCUUCGGGUUGUAAACCGCUUUCGCCGGUGACGUAGCGUGAGUGACGGUAAUUGGUAAAGAAGCACCGGCUAACUACGUG